UUAGCGGCGGACGGGUGAGUAACACGUGGAUAACCUACCUAUAAGACUGGGAUAACUUCGGGAAACCGGAGCUAAUACCGGAUAAUAUUUUGAACCGCAUGGUUCAAAAGUGAAAGACGGUCUUGCUGUCACUUAUAGAUGGAUCCGCGCUGCAUUAGCUAGUUGGUAAGGUAACGGCUUACCAAGGCAACGAUGCAUAGCCGACCUGAGAGGGUGAUCGGCCACACUGGAACUGAGACACGGUCCAGACUCCUACGGGAGGCAGCAGUAGGGAAUCUUCCGCAAUGGGCGAAAGCCUGACGGAGCAACGCCGCGUGAGUGAUGAAGGUCUUCGGAUCGUAAAACUCUGUUAUUAGGGAAGAACAUAUGUGUAAGUAACUGUGCACAUCUUGACGGUACCUAAUCAGAAAGCCACGGCUAACUACGUGCCAGCAGCCGCGGUAAUACGUAGGUGGCAAGCGUUAUCCGGAAUUAUUGGGCGUAAAGCGCGCGUAGGCGGUUUUUUAAGUCUGAUGUGAAAGCCCACGGCUCAACCGUGGAGGGUCAUUGGAAACUGGAAAACUUGAGUGCAGAAGAGGAAAGUGGAAUUCCAUGUGUAGCGGUGAAAUGCGCAGAGAUAUGGAGGAACACCAGUGGCGAAGGCGACUUUCUGGUCUGUAACUGACGCUGAUGUGCGAAAGCGUGGGGAUCAAACAGGAUUAGAUACCCUGGUAGUCCACGCCGUAAACGAUGAGUGCUAAGUGUUAGGG
rnacentral:rRNA from 1 species